rnacentral:rRNA from 1 species
UGGGGAAUAUUGGACAAUGGGCGAAAGCCUGAUCCAGCCAUGCCGCGUGUGUGAAGAAGGUCUUCGGGUUGUAAAGCACUUUAAGCGAGGAGGAGGCGCUCUAGGCUAAUACCCUAGAUGCGUGGACGUUACUCGCAGAAUAAGCACCGGCUAACUCUGUG